UACGUAGGCAGCGAGCGUUGUUCGGAGUUACUGGGCGUAAAGGGUGUGUAGGCGGUUUUUUAAGUUUGGUGUGAAAUCUCCCGGCUCAACUGGGAGGGUGCGCCGAAUACUGAAAGACUAGAGUACGGGAGAGGAAAGUGGAAUUCCUGGUGUAGCGGUGAAAUGCGUAGAUAUCAGGAGGAACACCGGUGGUGUAGACGGCUUUCUGGACCGUAACUGACGCUGAGACACGAAAGCGUGGGUAGCAAACAGG
rnacentral:rRNA from 1 species